UCUGUGAGACUGUGUUGCUGGGUCAGAUGGGAAAACAACGAGCCUUAGCUGUGAGUGUCAGACCAGCUCCUAGCAACACUGAGGCGCAGCUGAGUCAGACUAAGUUCCGAGAUGUCAGGAGCUGCUUUCCAGAGAAUCUGUCUACUGAGAGAAAAAGAAAGAUACAAAAUGAGACACCGCUUCUGUUCUGAGGACCCAUCCUGUGGAUAUGCAAGUCCAUCAACGGAGAUCUUCCCAGCCCAGAGAGCAUACCUGCGAGCUGCCUGGGAAGCCCACUCAAUUCUUAAAAUGGAGCUGCUUUAACAUAAAGUGUUGGCAACAGGGGUUUGAGAACUCAAGGCAAGUAUUUAAGAGACUUUCUAGCUCAGGCUCCUUCAUUUGCCUAUGGAUUUCAGAAAUGCAAGCAUAAAAUGAAGUAGUUACUGGGAGGAAAAUAAGGACUUCAGUAAAAUCCAAAUUUACAGAUCUACUGGCAACGGUCUAAUCUUAGGAGGAGGUCUGGAGGUCCCUCAUCCUGUGUGGAC
ensembl:lncRNA